AUUGAACGCUGGCGGCGUGCCUAACACAUGCAAGUCGAACGAGUGGCGGACGGGUGAGUAAUGUCUGUGACACUGCCUGAUGGAGGGGGAUAACUACUGGAAACGGUAGCUAAUACCGCAUACCCUCGGCUUUUCCCAGAUGGGAUUCGCGAGUAGGUGGGGUAAAGGCUCACCUAGGCGAAGAUCCCUAGCUGGUCUGAGAGGAUGACCAGCCACACUGGAACUGAGACACGGGCCAGACUCCUACGGGAGGCAGCAGUGGGGAAUAUUGCACAAUGGGCGCAAGCCUGAUGCAGCCAUGCCGCGUGUAUGAAGAAGGCCUGCGGGUUGUAAAGCACUUUCAGCGGGGAGGCGUUACCCGCAGAAGAAGCACCGGCUAACUCCGUGCCAGCAGCCGCGGUAAUUC
rnacentral:rRNA from 1 species